UUCAUUCAAAUAUCUGCCCUAUCAACUUUCGAUGGUAGGAUAGAGGCUACCAUGGUUUUGACGGGUAACGGGGAAUAAGGGUUCGAUUCCGGAGAGGGAGCCUGAGAAACGGUUACCACAUCCACGGAAGGCAGCAGGCGCGCAAAAUUACCCAAUCCCGACACGGGGAGGUAGUGACAAUAAAUAACAAUAUAGGGCCCUUUUGGGUCUUAUAAUUGGAAUGAGUACAAUUUAAAUCCGUUAACGAGGAACAAUUGGAGGGCAAGUCUGGUGCCAGAGCCGGGUAAUUCCAGCUCCAAUAGCGUAUAUUAAAGUUGUUGCAGUUAACAAAGCUCGUAGUUGAACUUCAGACCUGACCGGGCGGUCCGCCUAACGGUGUGUACUGUCUGGCCGGGCCUUAGCUCUUGGUGAGCCGGCAUGCCCUUCACUGGGUGUGUCGGGGAACCAGGGACCUUUACCUUGAGACAAUUAGGAGUGUUCAAGCAGGCUUAAGCCGGAAUACCAUUAGCAUGGAAUAAUAAA
rnacentral:rRNA from 1 species